UCGCACGGGGGCGGGCGGAAAUGGGUUUUCUCCGGUCGGGGGCCGGGCUCGCGGCCUAUCAGCUUCGUUGGUGGGGCGAUCGGCUUUACCAAGGCUUUCGACGGGUAGCCGGCCUGAGAGGGUCGACCGGUCACAUUCGGGACUGAGAUACGGCCCAGAACUCCUACGGGAGGCAGCAGUGGGGAAAUAUUCGCACAAUGGGCGCAAGCCUGAUGCAGCGACGCGGCGUGAGGGAAGGAGGCCUUCGGGUUCGUGAAACCUCUUUCGCUCAUGGUCAAGCCGCAACUCGUGGUUCGUGGUGAGGGUAGUGGGUAAAAGAAGCGCCGGCUAACUACGUGCCAGCAGCCGCGGUAAUACGUAGGGCGCGAGCGUUUGUCCGGAAUUAUUGGGCGUAAAGGGCUUUGUAGGCGGUUGGUCGCCGUCUGCCGUGAAAUCCUCUGGCUUAACUGGGGGCGUGCGGUGGGUACGGGCUGGCUUGAGUGCGGUAGGGGAGACUGGAACUCCUGGUGUAGCGGUGGAAUGCGCAGAUAUCAGGAAGAACACCGGUGGCGAAGGCGGGUCUCUGGGCCGUUACUGACGCUGAGGAGCGAAAGCGUGGGGAGCGAACAGGAUUAGAUACCCUGGUAGUCCACGCUGUAAACGUUGGGCACUAGGUGUGGGGGCCACCCGUGGUUUCUGCGCCGUAGCUAACGCUUUAAGUGCCCCGCCUGGGGAGUACGGCCGCAAGGCUAAAACUCAAAGGAAUUGACGGGGGCCCGCACAAGCGGCAGAGCAUGCGGAUUAAUUCGAUGCAACGCGAAGAACCUUACCAAGGCUUGACAUGCACGGCGGCGCUGCAGAGAUGUGGUGGCAUUUGGUUGGUCGUGUGCAGGUGGUGCAUGGUUGUCGUCAGCUCGUGUCGUGAGAUGUUGGGUUAAGUCCCGCAACGAGCGCAACCCUUGCCCUAUGUUGCCAGCACGUGAUGGUGGGGACUCGUGGGGGACUGCCGGGGUUAACUCGGAGGAAGGUGGGGAUGACGUCAAAUCAUCAUGCCCCUUAUGUCUUGGGCUUCACGCAUGCUACAAUGGUUGGUACAGAGGGUUGCGAUACUGUGAGGUGGAGCGAAUCCCUUAAAGCCAGUCUCAGUUCGGAUUGGGGUCUGCAACUCGACCCCAUGAAGGUGGAGUCGCUAGUAAUCGCAGAUCAGCAACGCUGCGGUGAAUACGUUCUCGGGCCUUGUACACACCGCCCGUC
rnacentral:rRNA from 1 species